rnacentral:rRNA from 1 species
UCAGACGAUGCGUCAUGCAUAUCAUAAGCGGAGGAAAAGAAACUAACAAGGAUUCCCUUAGUAACGGCGAGUGAAGCGGGAAGAGCUCAAAUUUGAAAUCUUAAAGGGGUUUCCCUUUACGAAUUGUAGUUUAAAGAAGUGUUUUCUGUUAGAGUUUCGGUAAAAGUUCUUUGGAAUAGGACAUCAUAGAGGGUGAGAAUCCCGUAUUUGACCAUUAUUUUCAGCUGUGUGAUACACUUUCAAAGAGUCGGAUUGUUUGGGAAUGCAGUCCAAAAUGGGUGGUAAAUUUCAUCUAAAGCUAAAUAUUGGCGAGAGACCGAUAGCGAACAAGUACCGUGAGGGAAAGAUGAAAAGAACUUUGAAAAGAGAGUUAAACAGUACGUGAAAUUGUCAAAAGGGAAGCGUUUGACACCAGUGUUGUUUUCUCGAAAAUCAAUUAAAAAGAGUUAGAUUUUGUUGUGUAUUGACCUUAACAGCUUGCAUUUCGAUUUUCUUGCUUUUUUUAAUGCACUUUUCGUUUAACAAGUCAACAUCAGUUUCUUUUGUUGUAAAAAGGUCAUUGGAAGGUGGCUUUCUUUUCGGAGAAAGUGUUUAUAGCCUUUGACUCCUGCAAUCGGAGAGACUGAGGUCUGCAGCGUAGAUCCUUCGGGGUUAGAUACAUUUGUGCUAAGUUAUAGCUUUUUAUAGACAACUUGUUGACUAUGAUUAGUCUUGUAGCUUACUCGCUUAUGCUAUUUUACCUACGCUUAGGAUGUUGAGUCGUAGAGCACGCAG